GAUGAACGCUAGCUACAGGCUUAACACAUGCAAGUCGAGGGGCAGCAUGAUCGAAGCUUGCUUUGAUUGAUGGCGACCGGCGCACGGGUGAGUAACGCGUAUCCAACCUUCCCUAUAGUAGAGAUUUUCCCGGUGAAAAUCGGAUUAAUGCUCUAUGUUAUUCAAUGCAGACAUCUAAGUUGAAUCAAAGGUUUCCCGCCCCUUUGAUGGGGAUGCGUCUGAUUAGGUUGUUGGCGGGGUAACGGCCCACCCAGCCUACGAUCAGUAGGGGUUCUGAGAGGAAGGUCCCCCACAUUGGAACUGAGACACGGUCCAAACCUCCUACGGGAGGCAGCAGUGAGGAAUAUUUGGUCAAUGGACGGAAGUCUGAACCAGCCAAGUAGCGUGCAGGAUGGACGGCCCUUAUGGGUUGUAAACUGCUUUUAUACAGGGAUAAAGUGAGGGACGUUGUCCCUUUUUUGUAGGUACUGUAAUGAAAUAAGACCGGCUAAUUCCGUGCCAGCCAGCCGCGGUAAUACGGAAGGUCCGGGCGUUAAUCCGGAUUUACUGGUUUAAAGGAAGCGCAGGCUGAUGGAUAACGUGACAGUAUAUGUAGUCAUCUAGUGCUGAACCUGCGAUGCCGAGAACCUUGUGUUU
rnacentral:rRNA from 1 species